rnacentral:rRNA from 1 species
AGCGAACGCUGGCGGCAGGCCUAACACAUGCAAGUCGAACGAACUCUUCGGAGUUAGUGGCGGACGGGUGAGUAACACGUGGGAACGUGCCUUUUGGUUCGGAAUAACUCAGGGAAACUUGUGCUAAUACCGAAUGUGCCCUUCGGGGGAAAGAUUUAUCGCCAUUAGAGCGGCCCGCGUCUGAUUAGCUAGUUGGUGAGGUAACGGCUCACCAAGGCGACGAUCAGUAGCUGGUCUGAGAGGAUGACCAGCCACACUGGGACUGAGACACGGCCCAGACUCCUACGGGAGGCAGCAGUGGGGAAUCUUGCGCAAUGGGCGAAAGCCUGACGCAGCCAUGCCGCGUGAAUGAUGAAGGUCUUAGGAUCGUAAAAUUCUUUCACCGGGGACGAUAAUGACGGUACCCGGAGAAGAAGCUCCGGCUAACUUCGUG